CAAGGGCAGUCUGAAAGAGCCAGCCGGUCCUGAUCAGGCCCCCCUGUUCCCUGCCCCCAUCCCAGAUGGGCCGGAAGUCCGUGAAGUCUGUCCUGUGGGUGUCGGCUGAUGGGCUCCGAGUGGUGGAUGACAAGACCAAGGUAGGAGGCCUGUAUGUGGGGUGGAGUGAGGCUUCCCACCUGCUACCAGCCAUGGGAUGCUCCUCCCAAGGGGGCCCUCGAGACAACGCCAUGUGUGCCUGCAUCGGCCUGGCUGGCUGCACAGUCCUAAUUCAGGAAUGAGGGCUGUGGUUAUUUGCAAGCUGCUUCAGAGAGUGGGUGGGAUGAGUGCACGAACUGGAGCAGCCACCUCAGCGCCAAUCCCAGCCACCCCCUCACCAACUGGGAAACCCUAGGCACAAGAUUUAACCCCUCUGGGCUCCCGUUGCCUCGUCUUU
rnacentral:lncRNA from 1 species